rnacentral:lncRNA from 1 species
GCCAGUUCUGCGCGUGUGAGUCUCUUUCGCCUUGCUCCGGGCUUUCUUCGCUCGCAGCGCGGCAGGGUUAUCACCAGAUCUGGGCUUUCCCCUUCUUGCCGUCAGGUGCUACGGCCACGUGGCCCGCGGCUUCCCGCUCGCGCAGUCUGGCAGCCCGGAGCCUUCCGCGGUCCCCCGCCCGCCCGGGGCCCAACGACGCCCUACUGGGCGAGCACGAUUUCCGAGGACAGGGGGUCCGGGCCCAGCGCUUUCGAUUCUCGGAGGAGCCGGGUCCGGGGGCCGACGGGGCUGUCCUGGAGGUCCACGUCCCGCAGGUGCGUGCAGCAGCACCCGCCAGGAGGCGCCUGAGGUCAGGAGCGGAUGUCGGCUGACUUGGCUGGGUUCCUGAGGGACCGGGGGUGCGGACGCUCAGCUGCGCAGCUUCCUGCUUUAGGUUGACCCCCGGAGCAAAAACGUCGGAUAUGAAGCCCUUCGGUGCAUUAAAUGUCUCUCAGUAAGAAUUUUGGAGACCCUGCCAAGAAGUGACCCUGGUCACUAUGUUGGUCAGGCUGGUCUCGAACUGUAAGCUUAAGUGAUCCUCCUGCCUCGGCCUCCCAAAGUGCUAGGAUUACAGGCAUGAGCCACUGCGCCGGGCCGGCUUUCUCCACAUCGAAUCUUUCCUGCCAGGAAAGUCCUGCAUCUCCAGUAUGGAAUGUAUGUUUGGCCCUGUGCUGUGGUCCUGGCCCAGUACCUUUGGUUUCACAGAAGAUCUCUGCCAGGCAAGGCCAUCUUAGAGAUUGGAGCUGGAGUGAGCCUUCCAGGAAUUUUGGCUGCCAAAUGUGGUGCAGAAGUAAUACUGUCAGACAGCUCAGAACUGCCUCACUGUCUGGAAGUCUGUCGGCAAAGCUGCCAAAUGAAUAACCUGCCACAUCUGCAGGUGGUAGGACUAACAUGGGGUCAUAUAUCUUGGGAUCUUCUGGCUCUACCACCACAAGAUAUUAUCCUUGCAUCUGAUGUGUUCUUUGAACCAGAAGAUUUUGAAGACAUUUUGGCUACAAUAUAUUUUUUGAUGCACAAGAAUCCCAAGGUCCAAUUGUGGUCUACUUAUCAAGUUAGGAGUGCUGACUGGUCACUUGAAGCUUUACUCUACAAAUGGGAUAUGAAAUGUGUCCACAUUCCUCUUGAGUCUUUUGAUGCAGACAAAGAAGAUAUAGCAGAAUCUACCCUUCCAGGAAGACAUACAGUUGAAAUGCUGGUCAUUUCCUUUGCAAAGGACAGUCUCUGAAUUAUACCUACAACCUGUUCUGGGACAGUAUCAAUACUGAUGAGCAACCUGGCACACAAACUAUGAGCAGACCACUUCAGCUUGAGAAUGCAGUGGGUCUGAAGAUGGUCAAGUCUGUUUGCCUUAGAUUUUGAUGUCACCUAGACAACACUUAAACUCAUAUGAAACAAAAAUUAAAAUACGUAUUACAAG